rnacentral:rRNA from 1 species
UACGUAGGUGGCAAGCGUUAUCCGGAAUCAUUGGGCGUAAAGCGCGCGCAGGUGGUUCCUUAAGUCUGAUGUGAAAGCCCACGGCUCAACCGUGGAGGGUCAUUGGAAACUGGGGAACUUGAGUGCAGAAGAGGAAAGUGGAAUUCCAAGUGUAGCGGUGAAAUGCGUAGAGAUUUGGAGGAACACCAGUGGCGAAGGCGACUUUCUGGUCUGUAACUGACACUGAGGCGCGAAAGCGUGGGGAGCAAACAGG